rnacentral:rRNA from 1 species
AUGCCUCCAUGGCGGUUCCGAUCUGGCGGCCUCGCCUGCGCGGUGGCUAUCGCGGUGGCGACGGCGACCGCCGCAUCCGUGGUAGUGGCCGCCGGAGCAGCGGACGGCGAGGCGGAGUUCGACUACCGGAAGCUCUCGGGGAUAAUAAUCCCGGGAUUCGCGUCGACGCAGCUGCGGGCGUGGUCGGUGCUGGACUGCCCCUACUCCCCGUUCGACUUCAACCCCCUGGACUCCGUCUGGCUCGACUCCACCAAGCUUUUCUCUGCUGUAAAUUGCUGGCUUAAGUGCAUGCUGCUUGACCCUUAUAACCAGACGGACCAUCCAGAAUGUAAGUCAAGGCCAGAUAGUGGUCUUUCUGCAAUAACAGAGUUGGACCCUGGUUAUAUAACAGGUCCUCUUUCUUCAAUAUGGAAAGAAUGGGUCAAAUGGUGUGUAGAGUUUGGUAUUGAAGCUAACGCUAUCAUCGCUGUUCCGUAUGAUUGGAGGCUACCCCCAUCGAUGCUUGAGGAGAGGGAUCUGUACUUCCAUAAAUUAAAAUUAACUUUUGAAAUUGCAUUGAAACUUCGAGGAGGGCCAUCGUUGGUUUUUGCUCAUUCCAUGGGAAACAAUGUAUUCCGGUACUUUUUGGAAUGGUUGAAACUAGAAAUUGCCCCAAAACACUACAUCCAAUGGCUCGACAAACAUAUACAUGCAUACUUUGCAGUUGGUGCCCCUCUUCUCGGGUCUACCGAAUCAGUUAGAGCCACUCUCUCUGGGACGACGUCUGGUCUUCCAGUCACUGAGGGGACAGCCCGAUUGAUGUUUAAUUCAUUUGCUGCUUCUUUAUGGCUCUUGCCAUUCUCAAAAUACUGCAAAGCUGAUAAUGUAUACUGGAAGCAUUUUUUUGAGGGAAAGGCCCACAUCAACAGACAACAAUGCGAUGAGAUGGAGUAUAGUUCAGACAACUCUGGUUGGCCCACAACCCUCGUCAGUAUCGAGGUUCCUACAGAUCGAGGUGCGGAUGCUUAUCCAUCCAUUAUGGACAUAACAGAGGACAUAACAUCCAACAUGGAGUGUGGAAAGCCAACACUCUUGUCAUUUUCUGCCAGAGAAGUUUCAGAUGGUACUUUGUUCAAAACUAUGCUGGAUUAUGACCCACAGAGCAAAGCCCUUAUCCAUCAGCUGGAGAAGUACUACCAGGGUGACCCAGUUCUCAAUCCUCUGACGCCCUGGGAUAGACCCCCAAUAAAGAAUGUAUUCUGCAUAUAUGGCAUUGAUACUAAGACUGAGGUAGGAUACUAUUUUGCACCAAGUGGCAAACCAUAUCCAGAUAAUUGGAUAAUAACUGAUGUGAUUUAUGAGUUUGAACGGUCCCUACUGUCAAGAUCAGGUCAUUCUUUUUCUGGAAAGCCUAACAAUUCCAGUGGAGAUGGAACGGUAUCCUACAACUCCCUGUCAUGGUGCAAGCAAUGGCUUGGGCCAAAAGUGAACAUAACAAGGGCUCCACAGGCAGAACAUGAUGGAUCUGAUUUACAAACAAGCAUGAAUACUGAGCACUAUCAUGGUGAGGAUCUAUUUCCAAACAUGAAAAGGGCUCCACAUGUGAAGUACAUAACCUACUACGAGGACGCUGAAAGUAUUCCAGGAUGGAGAACAGCAGUCUGGGAGCUUGACAAAGCAAAUCACAGGAAUAUUGUUAGGAUGCCAGUGGUUAUGCGUGAGUUAUGGCUUGAAAUGUGGCAUGACAUGCACCCUUAUUCACAAUCAAAAUUUGUGACAAAAGCUUUCCGAGGUCCAUUGAGACACGAAGAUUGCCACUGGGAUUAUGCAAAAGCUCGGUGCGCCUUUCCAGAAUUCUGUGAAUACAGGUACACGUUUGGUGACGUGCAUCUAGGAAUGAGCUGCAGGCUGAAAUAUUCAUCAACUAAGCUCCUUCGGCAGUAUCUCUGA